GGCCAGGACAUCUUCAUGACAGAAGAGCAGAAGAAGUACUACAAUGCCAUGAAGAAGCUGGGCUCCAAGAAACCCCAGAAGCCCAUCCCACGGCCCCUGAAUAAGUACCAAGGCUUCGUGUUUGACAUCGUGACCAGGCAAGCCUUUGACAUCAUCAUCAUGGUUCUCAUCUGCCUCAACAUGAUCACCAUGAUGGUGGAGACCGACGAGCAGGGCGAGGAGAAGACGAAGGUUCUGGGCAGAAUCAACCAGUUCUUUGUGGCCGUCUUCACGGGCGAGUGUGUGAUGAAGAUGUUCGCCCUGCGACAGUACUACUUCACCAACGGCUGGAACGUGUUCGACUUCAUAGUGGUGAUCCUGUCCAUUGGGAGUCUGCUGUUUUCUGCAAUCCUUAAGUCACUGGAAAACUACUUCUCCCCGACGCUCUUCCGAGUCAUCCGUCUGGCCAGGAUCGGCCGCAUCCUCAGGCUGAUCCGAGCAGCCAAGGGGAUUCGCACGCUGCUCUUCGCCCUCAUGAUGUCCCUGCCCGCCCUCUUCAACAUCGGCCUCCUCCUCUUCCUCGUCAUGUUCAUCUACUCCAUCUUCGGCAUGGCCAGCUUCGCUAACGUCGUGGACGAGGCCGGCAUCGACGACAUGUUCAACUUCAAGACCUUUGGCAACAGCAUGCUGUGCCUGUUCCAGAUCACCACCUCGGCCGGCUGGGACGGCCUCCUCAGCCCCAUCCUCAACACGGGGCCUCCCUACUGCGACCCCAACCUGCCCAACAGCAACGGCUCCCGGGGGAACUGCGGGAGCCCGGCGGUGGGCAUCAUCUUCUUCACCACCUACAUCAUCAUCUCUUUCCUCAUCGUGGUCAACAUGUACAUCGCAGUGAUUCUGGAGAACUUCAACGUGGCCACCGAGGAGAGCACGGAGCCCCUGAGCGAGGACGACUUCGACAUGUUCUAUGAGACCUGGGAGAAGUUCGACCCGGAGGCCACCCAGUUCAUUGCCUUUUCUGCCCUCUCAGACUUCGCGGACACGC
rnacentral:lncRNA from 1 species